UAUAAAAUAAUAGAUUUAAAAUUUUACAUAAUAAUAAUUUUUUUUAAACUAAAAAUGAAAAAUCUAAAAAAAUAAAUCAUGAAUCCUAGUUCUUUUGAAAAAAAGAAAAAAAAAAGAAACCCUAGUUCUCUCAACUUAUUCCCUCUCAGCCGUCACAUAAACUCAUCUCAGAUCUCUCGCCGCCACGCCAGAUCUCUCUCUUCUGUGCCUCUCUCUCUAACACCAGAGCUCUCUAUCUCUAGCCGGACCUCUCUCACGCUCCCUCCUCUCUCUUGCUCGCCUUCAGGUCUCUUCUCUAGCCGGAUUCUCUCUCUCGUGGCUCUCUCUCUCGCCGGACCUCCCGCACAGUUACUUCUCUCUCUAUGUCUGUGUGUGUGUGUGUGUCAGUUUUGAUUCAGAUUUGUUUUUGUUGUUGGUGGAGGAGGAUGGAGAAGAAGCUUGACGGAGGAGACUCCUCGCCGUGACUUUUCUUUCCGUCCUAAAAACCUCAAUUGAAGCAUCUGGUGCCUUGACGCGCCGCAGCCACUACUUUGACUCCUUUUAUGCAAUUAUGCGGCUAUUUUUCAGAAGAUAAACUAUAGACUUUCAAAGGUUGAAACUUUGACGGAGAGGAUGGAGAAGAAGCUUGACGGAAGAGGAUGGAGAAGAAGCGGCCGGCGGUGGAGGCUUCCGCAGGAAGGACGGCGGCGAGCAGAUAGCGGUAAUCUUUCCUCAGCCUUGUCCGCUGUUCAUGCUCGAGACUAAGUAAAAGACGGUGUGGUGGAUCUAUGCGCUGGCAGAAUCGAAUAAACAAAAGGCUAGUUCAAAAACAAAGUCCACUUAACAAAGCAUUUAAUGAAAUGCUGCGUUUUGGCAAGGCGGACACAUGUCGACACCACAUGACUCAACAUUCUUAGCUGGCGGAUGAUGUGGCGCUCUAAAGAGGAAGAAAACCCUUCUUUAUAAUAAUAGAUUUGAUUCCAAACUUGUAGAGAUGUUUAGAAUGAUACCAGUGAUUUGUCUUUUUUUUUCUUUUUGUUAACACCAGUGAUUGUCUGAAGAGUUUUUAAGGGACUUGCACCAAGAGAACAAGAUUGAGAAAUUUCAAA